UUUGUGAGCGCGAAGCGGUAGCUGGGCUGGCGUUUGAUUCAUUGCUGCUUGUUUCCUUGUUGGGCUUAAUAGCAGCGGCCUAGCAGAAAAAUUAAAGAUGUCUGAAUAUAUUCGGGUAACCGAAGAUGAGAAUGACGAACCUAUUGAAAUACCAUCAGAAGAUGAUGGAACAGUGCUGCUGUCCACGGUUACAGCCCAGUUUCCAGGGGCAUGUGGCCUGCGCUACAGGAAUCCAGUAUCUCAGUGUAUGAGAGGUGUCCGCCUAGUAGAAGGAAUUCUGCACGCCCCUGAUGCUGGCUGGGGAAAUCUGGUCUACGUUGUCAACUAUCCCAAAGAUAACAAAAGAAAAAUGGAUGAGACAGAUGCUUCAUCAGCAGUGAAAGUGAAGAGAGCAGUCCAGAAAACGUCUGAUUUGAUAGUGUUGGGUCUCCCGUGGAAGACAACUGAGCAGGAUCUAAAAGAAUAUUUUAGUACUUUUGGAGAAGUUCUUAUGGUGCAGGUCAAGAAAGAUAUUAAAACUGGUCACUCCAAAGGGUUUGGCUUUGUUCGUUUUACGGAAUAUGAAACCCAGGUGAAAGUAAUGUCACAGCGACAUAUGAUAGAUGGACGAUGGUGCGACUGUAAACUUCCUAAUUCUAAGCAAAGCCCAGAUGAGCCUUUGAGGAGUAGAAAGGUGUUUGUUGGGCGUUGUACAGAGGACAUGACUGCUGAUGAGUUGCGGCAGUUCUUCUGCCAGUAUGGAGAAGUGGUAGAUGUCUUCAUUCCCAAACCAUUCAGGGCUUUUGCCUUUGUUACAUUUGCAGAUGAUCAGGUUGCCCAGUCUCUUUGUGGAGAGGACUUGAUCAUUAAAGGAAUCAGCGUACAUAUAUCCAAUGCUGAACCUAAGCACAAUAGCAAUAGACAGUUAGAAAGAAGUGGAAGAUUUGGUGGUAAUCCAGGUGGCUUUGGGAAUCAGGGUGGAUUUGGUAACAGCCGAGGGGGUGGGGCUGGCUUGGGAAACAAUCAAGGUAGUAAUAUGGGUGGAGGGAUGAACUUUGGGGCUUUCAGCAUUAACCCAGCUAUGAUGGCUGCAGCCCAAGCAGCGCUGCAGAGCAGCUGGGGUAUGAUGGGCAUGUUAGCCAGUCAGCAGAACCAGUCAGGCCCAUCAGGUAAUAACCAAAGCCAAGGUAACAUGCAGAGGGAGCCAAAUCAGGCCUUUGGUUCUGGAAAUAACUCUUACAGUGGCUCCAAUUCUGGUGCAGCCAUUGGUUGGGGAUCAGCAUCAAAUGCAGGGUCAGGCAGUGGUUUUAAUGGAGGCUUUGGCUCAAGCAUGGAUUCCAAAUCCUCUGGUUGGGGAAUGUAGACAGUGGGUUCUGGUUGGUUGGUAUAGACUGGUGGGAAUUCAGAUUUUUCUAAACUCAUGGUAAGUAUAUUGUAAGAUAUAUAUGUACUAAAAAUUUUCAAAAUUGGUUUGUUCAGUGUGGAGUAUAUUCAGCAGUAUUUUUGACAUUUUUCUUUAGAAAAAGAGGAAGAGCUAAAGGAAUUUUAUAAGUUUUGUUACUUAAAGGGUUGAAAUAUUGAGUGGUUGGACGUGAACUGCUGUUUGCCUGAUUGGUAAACCAACACACUACAGUUGAUAUCAAAAGGUUUCUCCUGUAAUAUUUUAUCCCUGGACUUGUCAAGUGAAUUCUUUGCAUGUUCAAAAUGGAAACCAUUAGUUAGAACUACAUUCUUUUCUCAUUGUUUUAAUUUGAACCCCACCAUAUGAAUUUUUCCUUAGGAAUAUCUCCUUUCUGGAGAUCAUGGUGUCACAAUGUUUGGUUCUUUUUGUUCUAUUUUUUAACACUUGUCUCCCUUCAUAUACAAAAGUACAAUAUGAAGCCUUCAUUUAAUCUCUGCAGUUCAUCUCAUUUCAAAUGUUUAUGGAAGAAGCACUUCAUUGAAAGUAGUGCUGUAAAUAUUCUGCCAUAGGAAUACUUCUGUCUACAUGCUUUCUCAUUCAAGAAUUCGUCAUCACGCUGCACAGGCUGCGUCUUUGACGGUGGGUGUCCCAUUUUUAUCCGCUACUCUUUAUUUCAUGGAGUCGUAUCAACGCUAUGAACGCAAGGCUGUGAUAUGGAACCAGAAGGCUGUUUGAACUUUUGAAACCUUGUGUGGGAUUGAUGGUGGUGCCGAGGCAUGAAAGGCUAGUAUGAGCGAGAAAAAGGAGAGAGCGCGUGCAGAGACUUGGUGGUGCAUAAUGGAUAUUUUUUAACUUGGCGAGAUGUGUCUCUCAAUCCUGUGGCUUUGGUGAGAGAGUGUGCAGAGAGCAAUGAUAGCAAAUAAUGUACGAAUGUUUCUUGCAUUCAAAGGACAUCCACAUCUGUUGGAAGACUUUAAGUGAGUUUUGUUCUUAGGUAACCCAUAUUAGUUGAAUGUGUUAAGUGAAACGAUACUUGUAUUUCCCCUGCCCCUUUGUCAACUGCUGUGAAUGCUGUAUGGUGUGUGUUCUCUUCUGUUACUGAUAUGUAAGUGUGAUAAAGUGAACUGAAGCUGAUGGGUUGAGAACAUGGACUGAGCUUGUGGUGUGCUUUGCAGGAAUACUUGGAAGCAGAGUUCACCAGUGAGCUCGGGGUGUCUCAAAAGAAGGGUGGAAGUUCUAAUGUCUGUUAGCUCCCCAUAAGAAUGCUGUUUGCUGCAGUUCUGUGUCCUGUGCUUGGAUGCUUUUUAUAAGAGUUGUCAAUGUUGGAAAUUCUUAAAUAAAACUGAUUUAAAUAAUAUGUGUCUUUGUUUUGCAGCUCUGAAUGCAAAGAAUUCAUAGCAGUUAAUUCCCCUUUUUGGCCCUUUUGAGAUGGAACUUUCAUAAAGUUUCUUGGCAAUAGUUUAUUUUGCUUCAAAUAAACUUAUUUGAAAAGUUGUCUCAAGUCAAAUGGAUUCAUCACCUGUCAUGCAUUGACACCUGAUACCCAGAUUUAAUUGCUAUUGGUUCUUGCAUUAUCCAAAGUGGAAAGUUAUUUUUUUUCUUUUCUUUUUUUUUUAAAUCUAGUUUUUAAUAAGUCUGGGUGACCGCACCUAAAAUGCACUUGCACUAUUACUCAGCAGCAGUAACAUGGUAACACUUAAAAUGGUAUUCGGGGACCUCCAAAGACUUAACUGACAAGCCUUCAAGGAACCCAGGGUUAUAAGGUCAAAAAUAAUCAAAUGACUGAUGUAGUCAGCACCCAACAACCUCUCUACAUGUAAAAGGAUAAUGAGAACAUAUUAUUUGGAAAUAAUAACUUAGUCUGAGAGCCAAGUGCUGAAGUUCCAUUUCUGCCUACCACAGCUAAAGCUCUACUUAUUGUCUACUACCCAGUUCUACUUUCCAUCAAUUACGAAUCUGUUGUGUAAAUGUGUCCAUUACCAGGCUCACAGACUGGGAGUGAUUUUCCUCCUUUGGAGCUCGUCCAGAAUCCAUCAGCCUCACACACAUAUUUACCUGCAAAUCAUUGGAAACGCAAAAAUGUUUAACUGCAUGUAUAAGGUGGUUGUCAUUUGCUUGAAUACCCCCUUGAAAAAUGUUGAUUAUUGAGCAUCCAUGGAAAAUAGAGGUGUCUGAAUAACCAUUUUACAUGAUUUCAUAAAUAGCGGUCUCUGCCGUACCAUGUUUGCUUGCAAAGUGGAAACCUUUUAGAUGUAUAACUUGAAUAUGUAUCAAGAUCUCAAGUGCUUAAUGAUAAGGUUUUUGACUUGUUAAAUUAAACCAUUUGGAAUAUAUUGUGUGUUUGUAGUAGUCAUUUACUAGAUAAGAUCUGUUUUCAGAUUCUUGCAAAUUGACAUUAAAGUCACUUCAGCUAUAAUAUUUCACUUAGCAGUGGGAGAAGUGCCUUUUAAUCUUUGGUUUAGCCUUAGCCAAAAAUGUUGGUUGAAGUUUAUUUUCAGGCUGAGGGCUUAAGUUCCAAUGUCGCCCACUCCCAACUUUGAAAAAUUUGCUUACCAUCAUUCGUUUUCAUUGUGUAGAACCUUUCUUUACAGCUGUACUGAAUCACAGCUUUGUAAGUGGUCACUUCCGGACCUGUCAUGUAUUCGACUUGGCCAUUGGGCAGGUCAUCAGGAGGGCCGCAGUCAACAACUAAUAAACACGGAGAGAAGGAGGGUCAGUUGUACUUCAGAUAAUACCGUUAAUGGUGACAAAGCAACUAACUAGAUAAGUGGUUGUGCCCUGUGGUGCUGUAACUUGAAGCGAUAUUCAUUUUCCUUUGUAGGGUGGACGUUUGUAAUUUCAUCUCUCAAAAUGGAGAAAAUCAUUUUAGUGUGGGUUCAAAGCAUCACUUUCAUCCCUGUUCCUAACUAAAUGGCUAGCUUGAGGUGGAGGCGGCCAUGGGUGAAGGCAGUGUAAGGGAAUUUGAAGCCACUUGGGUUUCCUUUCUGUUCUUGCUUCACGCACAAAGCUCUGCAGCGAAACAGCAAUGCGGAAGACAGACACGGGCACCGCCUGCGCGAUCUGUUUCCACAUAAAAUGGCGCUCUGCAAUUUGGCUGGCCUUAGGGUUGAAGGGGAUACAACAAAACAAAGGAGAAAAUUGAAGGCCAUUAGAUGAUGAGUUGAACCUUUUAGAAGA